rnacentral:ncRNA from 2 species
UCUUAUACCGUUGGUAGGGAUCUCUUUCCUACAUGACAGUACUAAUACCCAGGGAAACUGGUCAUCAGGCGAACUGCGGCGUUCUGCUGGCAAAACAUAGCUUCGGUUAUGUCAAUGGCUAUUGGAUUGGUCCAUGAAGCGAAAAAUAGUUUACUGUGUCACUCGUACCGAUAACCGCAUCAGGUCUUCUAGGUAAGUAGCCUAUGGCCAUUGAGGCAUGAUAGUUCAGGGAAUUCGGCCAAUUAGAGCUGUAACUUCGGGAUAAAGCUUGGCUCUGAUGAAAAUCAGAACCGAUUGUUACGCGGAGAGCCCAACUGUUUAAUAAAAACGUAGUGUCGCGCUGUGGUAGUAUAGCCAGUGAACGCGACAUGAAUCCUGCUCAGUGCUGUGUCUGUUAAUAUGGUUCAAGCCAACGAAGCACCGGUAAAUAGCUGGGGUAACUAUGACUCUUAUCAAAGUAGCGAAAUACCUCGUCACUUAAUUAGUGACCUGCAUGAACGGAGCUAUGAGGUUCUCACUGUCCCAAACUGUCUCUCAGCGAACCAACUGUAGUGGGAACGGUCACUAGAUAUCCAGCGGGGAAAGAAGACCCUGUAGAGCUUCACUUUGGUCUAGUCUUGUAUAGUUCCUGCGGGGGUGUAGACUAGGUGGGAGAGCAAUCGAUUCUGAAAAACCACUACCCUGUUUGGAAUUAUGCUUACCUAUCACAAGGAAUAGGACUAGAUAGAAAGUUUGGCUGGGGCGGCACACCUUCGAAAGAGCAGCGAAGGUGUCCUAAGUUGAGCUCAGUGAGGACAGAAAUCUCACGUUGAGGAUAAGGCCAAAAGCUCAAUUUACUGUGCCUUUUUGUACUAGGAUCAGUUACGAAAGUAAGGCCUAACGAUCCCUAAAUAGCCUCAGGUGCGUGAGGAUUGGGGUGACAGACAAGUUACCUCCGGGACAACUGGCUUGUGGCUGCUAAGAGAUCAAAUCAACGCAGCUUUUUUGAUUCUU